GCCUGGGUGACACAGCGAGACUCCAUCUCAAAAAAAAAAAAAAAAAAUGGAAAAGGUAAACCAGUAAAAUGACAUUGUACUUGGUGCUGAAUCUAUGCUAGGAUAGGCAUUAACAGUGACCUUUAUUUAAGGAUCUAAUUUGCUCAUGUUGGGCACUUAGAACAUCGGUUUGUUGUUUUUUUGUGAGAUUCUGGAAGCGUUCCGAUUUUACCUUUCCCCCUUGACUCCAGACUUUUUAACACUGGUCUGCUGCUGUUAAGUUAUAUGCCAUUUUGUUAGGCCUUCUCAAUUGGGAAUCAGGAACGCUGCUGUGUUCUAGAGAUGUUUUGUUCUUCCUGUAGGGCUGAAGAAGUGCCUACUCGAUAGAAUCAGUCAUCAUGCAAAUAAAUGCCACCUGAGUCAAAGGCAAAGCCAGAGUGCAGCUUGGAGCAAAGAAGCCUCAAAAUACAGAAGAAAAACUGAUAAAACCACAGGGAGAAAUUGACAAGUCUGCCAUCGUAUUUGGAGAUUUCACCAUACCCUGCUUACCAUAAAAGCUAAUCUUUUUCAAUGAAGAACACCCCAAAUACUGAAAAGUAGAAAAAGGACAGAUGGCAUUUCAUGGUAAUCCCUUCCCCCAGGAGUGUAGAAUGUUUCUUUAGCUUGAUAGUUUGUUUAUUUAUUAAGUACUUACUAUAAACCAGACUCUGCUUUAAUUUGUGGUGAACAACCUAGAGAUUAAGUCCUGCCCUAUGGAUUUUAUAUUAGAGUGAGAAAAACAGAUAGCUAAGUCUGGAGCUCAGGGGUGAGGCCCAGGUUGGAAUUAUAGAUUCACUUGACCAAGGUGAAACCUGGUGUGCCCCCUCCUACUUCACACCGCCAGACAUACUUCCCGCCAUACAUUUCUGCUCUAUUGUUGUGUAUAGACUCUUCCUUUUGAGCCUCUCUCCAUUGAUGCAUGUCAACCUCUACUUGUCUUUUGUUGAUUUUGAGGCCACUUGCCCAUAUAACUGGCAGGAUAUUGAAGAAGAAUCAUACCAACCUGGUUCUGCUACCUAACAGCUGAGUUACUUUGGUCAAGCUCUUGGACUUCUGAGGCUGUUUCCUAAUUUCAAAAGUGGGGAUAUGAUGUGUUAGGCCCUGGUGGGUUGCAAGGAAGAGGUACACACGUAUCACCUUUGAUGAUGAGGGCCGAAUGUUAACUUGGAUGGAAAGUCAUCCAAACAGCGAUAUUGUCUCUGGCCCUAGUACUUUCAAAACCUCACAGAAUAUUAAUUUAGCAGUAUUUAGCCUUGAGAAGAGUUUUUAUUAAAGAGGCAUUAAUGAUGGAGGACCCUUGCAUAGUGAGGAAACCUUUCAGCCCAUAAAACAUCAUGGUGGUGCAGGAUAUGGGGUCAGUAUAAAUAUUGGCAUGUAGUCCCUUUGCAAGAGUGAGGGCUUGA